rnacentral:rRNA from 1 species
GUCUCCGUAGGUGAACCUGCGGAGGGAUCAUUACAAGAACGCCCGGGCUUCGGCCUGGUUAUUCAUAACCCUUUGUUGUCCGACUCUGUUGCCUCCGGGGCGACCCUGCCUUCGGGCGGGGGCUCCGGGUGGACACUUCAAACUCUUGCGUAACUUUGCAGUCUGAGUAAACUUAAUUAAUAAAUUAAAACUUUUAACAACGGAUCUCUUGGUUCUGGCAUCGAUGAAGAACGCAGCGAAAUGCGAUAAGUAAUGUGAAUUGCAGAAUUCAGUGAAUCAUCGAAUCUUCGAACGCACAUUGCGCCCCCUGGUAUUCCGGGGGGCAUGCCUGUUCGAGCGUCAUUUCACCACUCAAGCCUCGCUUGGUAUUGGGCAACGCGGUCCGCCGCGUGCCUCAAAUCGUCCGGCUGGGUCUUCUGUCCCCUAAGCGUUGUGGAAACUAUUCGCUAAAGGGUGUUCGGGAGGCUACGCCGUAAAACAACCCCAUUUCUAAGGUUGACCUCGGAUCAGGUAGGGAUACCCGCUGAACUUAAGCA